rnacentral:rRNA from 1 species
UUAGCGGAGGAAAAGAAAAUAACAAUGAUUUCCCUAGUAACGGCGAGUGAAGAGGAAAGAGCUCAAAGUUGGAACCUGUUUGGCUUAGCUAAACCGGAUUGUAAACUGUAGAAGUGUUUUCCAGACACGCCUGGUAAAAAAGUCCUUUGGAACAGGGCAUCAUAGAGGGUGAGAAUCCCGUCAUUGGCCAGAGCUGUUGUCUUUUGUGAUACAUUUUCAAAGAGUCAGGUUGUUUGGGAAUGCAGCCUAAAUUGGGUGGUAAAUCUCACCUAAAGCUAAAUAUUUGCGAGAGACCGAUAGCGAACAAGUACCGUGAGGGAAAGAUGAAAAGAACUUUGAAAAGAGAGUUAAACAGUAUGUGAAAUUGUUAAAAGGGAACCGUUUGGAGCCAGACUGGCUUGAUCGUAAUCACUCUAGGCUUUGGCCUGGAUGCACUUGCGGUCUAUGCCGGCCAACGACAGUUUUGUUUGAGGGAAAAAAUUACAUUGAAUGUGGCCCUUCGGGGUGUUAUAGCUUUGUAAAAAAUACCUUGGACGGGACUGAGGAACGCAGCGAAUGCCUUUAGGCGAGAUUGCUGGGUGCUUGCGCUGAUACAUGCUAGAAUUUCUGCUUUGGGUGGUGCUAGUGUGUAAAGGAGUAACCCGCUUAGUAUAUUUUUUAUUCGCUUAGGUUGUUGGCUUAAUGACUCUAAAU